AUCGGACACUUUUCUAUAAUUUUGUCAAACAACACAUUGUGGUGCAUGGACAGGUGAUGGAACUGGACCUCCACAUCUGGGCCUAGUUGUUGGCCUUCUCUUCUGCUUUGGGGUCCUGCCUUCAGCGAUGAGACUUUCAAAGACGACAUUGUUUCCUGGACAGUAAUGGUUUUCACAGUUCUUUGAUUUCCUUGAACACCCGAAGAAGCAGGAGACCUUGUAAUUCCAUGUGUCUCAUCAUUUCUGCAGACAUACCUGGAGAGCCGAGCUUUCCCACUGAGCUCUAGACUUAGCUUUUAAUUUUUCAAGCUAUUUGAAAGUCUAAAUAAACUUCCCCUCUGUGAGCGUCUCUUUCAUCAACUUCCACGACUCACUUCUUAACACGAAGAUGCUAA
rnacentral:lncRNA from 1 species